GCAGUCGAGGGGUAGCAGGAUCUAGCAAUAGAUUGCUGACGACCGGCGCACGGGUGAGUAACACGUAUCCAACCUGCCGAUAACUCGGGGAUAGCCUUUCGAAAGAAAGAUUAAUACCCGAUGGUAUAAUAAAACCGCAUGGUUUUGUUAUUAAAGAAUUUCGGUUAUCGAUGGGGAUGCGUUCCAUUAGGCAGUUGGUGAGGUAACGGCUCACCAAACCUUCGAUGGAUAGGGGUUCUGAGAGGAAGGUCCCCCACAUUGGAACUGAGACACGGUCCAAACUCCUACGGGAGGCAGCAGUGAGGAAUAUUGGUCAAUGGGCGUAGGCCUGAACCAGCCAAGUAGCGUGAAGGAUGACUGCCCUAUGGGUUGUAAACUUCUUUUAUAUGGGAAUAAAGUUUUCCACGUGUGGAAUUUUGUAUGUACCAUAUGAAUAAGGAUCGGCUAACUCCGUGCCAGCAGCCGCGGUAAUACGGAGGAUCCGAGCGUUAUCCGGAUUUAUUGGGUUUAAAGGGAGCGUAGGUGGACAGUUAAGUCAGUUGUGAAAGUUUGCGGCUCAACCGUAAAAUUGCAGUUGAUACUGGCUGUCUUGAGUACAGUAGAGGUGGGCGGAAUUCGUGGUGUAGCGGUGAAAUGCUUAGAUAUCACGAAGAACUCCGAUUGCGAAGGCAGCUCACUGGACUGCAACUGACACUGAUGCUCGAAAGUGUGGGUAUCAAACAGGAUUAGAUACCCUGGUAGUC
rnacentral:rRNA from 1 species